rnacentral:rRNA from 1 species
AUAAGUUAAGUAAGGGCGUAUGGCGGAUGCCUAGGCUCUCAGAGACGAUGAAGGACGUGAUAAGCUGCGAAAAGUUACGGGGAGAAGCACAUAUUUUAUGAUCCGUAAAUAUCCGAAUGGGGCAACCCGGCAUGCUGAAGGCAUGUCACCUAGCAAUAGGGGUAAACCCGGUGAACUGAAACAUCUAAGUAACCGGAGGAAGAGAAAACAAAAGUGAUUCCGUUAGUAGUGGCGAGCGAACGCGGAUUAGCCCAAACCAGUGUUGUUACGGCAAUGCUGGGGUUGUAGGACCACGAUAUUCGAAGCUAAGUGAAUUAGAACUGUUUGGAAAGACAGACCAUAGAGGGUGAUAGUCCCGUAUAAGUAAGCGAAGAUUAGAUAGUGGUAUCCUGAGUAGUGCGGGACACGAGUAAUCCUGUAUGAAUCCACCGGGACCAUCCGGUAAGGCUAAAUACUCCUGAGAGACCGAUAGUGAACUAGUACCGUGAGGGAAAGGUGAAAAGAACCCUAAGUAAGGGAGUGAAAGAGAUCCUGAAACCGUACGCCUACAAGCGGUCGGAGCACAUUUACUGUGUGACGGCGUGCCUUUUGCAUAAUGAGCCUACGAGUUACUGUUUCUAGCAAGGUUAAAUGUUUAAGACAUGGAGCCGUAGCGAAAGCGAGUCUGAAUAGGGCGCAUAGUUAGUAGUAGUAGACGCGAAACCGAGUGAUCUACCCAUGGGCAGGUUGAAGCUGUGGUAACACACAGUGGAGGACCGAACCAGUUGACGUUGAAAAGUCUUUGGAUGACCUGUGGGUAGGGGUGAAAGGCCAAUCAAACUCGGAAAUAGCUCGUACUCCCCGAAAUGCAUUUAGGUGCAGCGUUGAGCGAAAGUUUUAUAGAGGUAGAGCUACUGAUUGGAUGCGGGGGCUUCACCGCCUACCAAUUCCUGACAAACUCCGAAUGCUAUAAAAUGUUACUCAGCAGUGAGGGCAUGGGUGCUAAGGUCCAUGUCCGAGAGGGAAAGAACCCAGACCAUCAGCUAAGGUCCCAAAAUAUAUGUUAAGUUGAAUAAACGAGGUGAAACUGCUUAGACAGCUAGGAUGUUGGCUUGGAAGCAGCCAUUCAUUUAAAGAGUGCGUAACAGCUCACUAGUCGAGCGGUUUUGCAUGGAUAAUAAUCGGGCAUAAACAUAUUACCGAAGCUAUGGAUUUGUAUUAUAUACAAGUGGUAGGGGAGCAUUGUAACCUGCGUAGAAGGUGUGCUGUAAGGCAUGCUGGAGUGGUUACAAAAGAAAAUGUAGGCAUAAGUAACGAUAAAGGGGGCGAGAAACCCCCUCACCGAAAGACUAAGGUUUCCUCAGCGAUGCUAAUCAGCUGAGGGUUAGUCGGGUCCUAAGGCGAAUCCGAAGGGAGUAGUCGAUGGAUAACAGGUUAAUAUUCCUGUACUUCUUAUAAUUGCGAUGGGGUGACGGAGUAUUGAAAGCACCGCGAACUGACGGAAUAGUUCGUUAAAGUACGUAGCUAUAGAACCAGAUUAAGAGUUAGGUUUUGGCAAAGUACGAUAGUACCACAAAGCUUCGGCAGCGUGGAUAGUGUGCCUAAAAGCUUCCAAGAAAAACCUCUAAGCUUCAGAUUAUAAGAACCCGUACCGUAAACCGACACAGGUAGUUGGGAUGAGAAUUCUAAGGUGCUCGAGAGAUUCAUGGCUAAGGAACUAGGCAAAAUAGACCCGUAACUUCGGGAGAAGGGUCGCCACGCUUUACGGCGUGGCCGCAGUGAAAAGGUCCAGGCGACUGUUUAUCAAAAACACAGGGCUUUGCUAAAUUGAAAGAUGAUGUAUAAGGCCUGACACCUGCCCGGUGCUGGAAGGUUAAGUGGAGUUGUUAGCUUCGGCGAAGCAAUAAAAUGAAGCCCCAGUAAACGGCGGCCGUAACUAUAACGGUCCUAAGGUAGCGAAAUUCCUUGUCGGGUAAGUUCCGACCUGCACGAAUGGUGCAACGAUCUGGACACUGUCUCAGCCAUGAGCUCGG